rnacentral:rRNA from 2 species
GCUCGUAGUUGAAAUUCGAAUUAGCUGAUAGAGGGCUUAGGCUAUCUAGCAGUUGGUUCUCCGUCUACAAUCCCUCUUGGGCUUCAGGGUUGCAGAGGGCUGAGUAGACAAUUUACCUUGAAAAAAUUAGAGUGUUCCAGGCAGGUUUUCGCCGGAAUACAUUAGCAUGGAAUAAUGGAAUAGGACUUAGGUCUUUUGUUGGUUUUAGGACUUGAGUAAUGAUUAAUAGGGACAGAUGGGGGCAUUAGUAUUUAAUUGUCAGAGGUGAAAUUCUUGGAUUUAUUAAAGACUAACUUAUGCGAAAGCAUUUGCCAAGGAUGUUUU